rnacentral:miRNA from 1 species
AGUCAGCCUGACCUUUGAAGCUUUUACGCCAGGCAUUGACUUCUCUCUAGCUAUGGAAGUCCUACAUGGCAUCGUCUUCCAAUAGAAGGCUAUUUUGUUUACAUUGA